UACGUAGGGUGCGAGCGUUAUUCGGAUUUACUGGGCGUAAAGGGUCCGCAGGGGGUUUGCCAAGUCCGAUGUGAAAUACCACAGCUUAACUGUGGAACGGCAUUGGAUACUGGCGAACUAGAGUGCAUGAUGGGUGAGCGGAAUUCCUGGUGUAGCGGUGGAAUGCGUAGAUAUCAGGAAGAACACCGAUGGCGAAGGCGGCUCACUGGCGUGCAACUGACCCUCAGGGACGAAAGCGUGGGGAGCAAACAGGAUUAGAUACCCUGGUAGUCCACGCUGUAAACGGUGCGCACUAGAUGUGGGCGGAUUCUGAUCCCGCCCGUGUCCAAGCUAACGCGUUAAGUGCGCCGCCUGGGGACUACGACCGCAAGGUUAAA
rnacentral:rRNA from 1 species